CACGUAGGGUGCGAGCGUUGUCCGGAAUUAUUGGGCGUAAAGAGCUCGUAGGCGGUUCGUCGCGUCGCCUGUGAAAACCUGAGGCUCAACCUCAGGCCUGCAGUCGAUACGGGCGGACUUGAGUACUGCAGGGGAGACUGGAAUUCCUGGUGUAGCGGUGAAAUGCGCAGAUAUCAGGAGGAACACCGGUGGCGAAGGCGGGUCUCUGGGCAGUAACUGACGCUGAGGAGCGAAAGCGUGGGGAGCAAACAGG
rnacentral:rRNA from 1 species